rnacentral:rRNA from 1 species
CCUGAAUCAGUAUGUGUGUUAGUGGAAGCGUCUGGAAAGGCGCGCGAUACAGGGUGACAGCCCCGUACACAAAAAUGCACAUGCUGUGAGCUCGAUGAGUAGGGCGGGACACGUGGUAUCCUGUCUGAAUAUGGGGGGACCAUCCUCCAAGGCUAAAUACUCCUGACUGACCGAUAGUGAACCAGUACCGUGAGGGAAAGGCGAAAAGAACCCCGGCGAGGGGAGUGAAAAAGAACCUGAAACCGUGUACGUACAAGCAGUGGGAGCACGCUUAGGCGUGUGACUGCGUACCUUUUGUAUAAUGGGUCAGCGACUUAUAUUCUGUAGCAAGGUUAACCGAAUAGGGGAGCCGAAGGGAAACCGAGUCUUAACUGGGCGUUAAGUUGCAGGGUAUAGACCCGAAACCCGGUGAUCUAGCCAUGGGCAGGUUGAAGGUUGGGUAACACUAACUGGAGGACCGAACCGACUAAUGUUGAAAAAUUAGCGGAUGACUUGUGGCUGGGGGUGAAAGGCCAAUCAAACCGGGAGAUAGCUGGUUCUCCCCGAAAGCUAUUUAGGUAGCGCCUCGUGAAUUCAUCUCCGGGGGUAGAGCACUGUUUCGGCAAGGGGGUCAUCCCGACUUACCAACCCGAUGCAAACUGCGAAUACCGGAGAAUGUUAUCACGGGAGACACACGGCGGGUGCUAACGUCCGUCGUGAAGAGGGAAACAACCCAGACCGCCAGCUAAGGUCCCAAAGUCAUGGUUAAGUGGGAAACGAUGUGGGAAGGCCCAGACAGCCAGGAUGUUGGCUUAGAAGCAGCCAUCAUUUAAAGAAAGCGUAAUAGCUCACUGGUCGAGUCGGCCUGCGCGGAAGAUGUAACGGGGCUAAACCAUGCAC